CUGAGUGAGGGCUUACGCCCGACCUCCAACCCUUUGUGAACACAUCUUGUUGCUUCGGGGGCGACCCUGCCGGCACUACGUCGCCGGGCGCCCCCGAAGGUCUCCAAACACUGCAUCUUUGCGUCGGAGUUUAAACAAAUUAAACA
rnacentral:misc_RNA from 1 species